AAGAGCAGAGCCCCUACCCUGUGCCUCGUAUGUGGGAGUCUCCUCUGCUCUCAGAGUUACUGCUGCCAAGCCGAGCUGGAGGGCGAGGAUGUCGGGGCCUGCACAGCACACACCUACUCCUGCGGCUCUGGGGCCGGCAUCUUCCUGAGAGUACGGGAAUGUCAGGUGCUAUUUUUAGCUGGCAAAACCAAAGGCUGUUUUUAUUCUCCUCCUUACCUUGAUGACUACGGGGAGACUGACCAGGGACUCAGACGAGGAAAUCCUUUACAUUUAUGCCAAGAGCGGUUUCGAAAGAUCCAGAAGCUCUGGCAGCAGCACAGCAUCACCGAGGAGAUCGGACACGCGCAGGAGGCCAACCAGACCCUGGUGGGCAUCGACUGGCAGCAUUUGUAACUGCUGCUCCACCACAAACCUGGACUUGGAGUUUUGUAACCCAGCUGGCUUUUCCAGAAAGACAACAGGAAAUAAGUUCGGCUGAAUCUAUUUUGAAAUAAAUUCUUUAUUUAAGCUUUUCUUCCCAGUUUUAUUUUUUUUUAGUCUGGCUCCAGGGACUGAUGAAAAUCAUUUUCCGCCAGAUUUUAUUCCCGUGUCCCUCAGAUGUUCCCUGGACUGAGAAUCCUUUCUAGACUGGAGCCACGCUCCUUCCGAUGCCGCCUGCUUCAAUUGCCAGUAACCAAGCCGGUCCAACAUUGCCCACGGAUUCAGCAGAGGCCAAGAGGAGCCUGGGGCCUGUCAGGACGAUCCUUCCUUCCUUGGUGCCCUGAGGCUGAGUGUAGUUCACCUCUGGGACUGGACCUCACCUCCAGAGCAAAGCAGUUGAAUUUGAAGACAGGAUUCCCUUCUCCCCAUGGCCUAAAGGGCUGGGGACUCUAACAGGAAAGGCUAGGGUGGAGAUGGCCGCCUUUCACUGUCUUUGUCCAGACGUUUGGCUUUGAGAGCAUUACUCACUUAAAGGGCUUUAUGAGACAUAAAGGACCCCCUAGUUUUCCAGACUCUAACCUUCUGCCCCAAGGCUAAGCAGAGAGCGUGCACCCUCAGGCAGACAGUGGCCGACAGACAGACAGGCCUCAGCCAAGUGCACUGCUCCAAGCC
rnacentral:lncRNA from 1 species